CAACACUCACGAACCUAACUUCCAGAUAGGGUUAGGGUUAGGGUUGCUGCUACGGCCGCUCGUUCAAGAUACCGGAGGAUGUUUUUGUCUUAAUGUGCGGGACUAGAACGAUUAUUCAUUACCAGCCCUAGUUAGGGGAAAUGUGUCCUUGUAUCUUUGUAUGCAUGUCAGUAGUACAAACAUGAAUAACAUUGCUGCUUUUGGUGUUCAGGCAAGCACAUCUGUUCACGGUGCUAGGCUACAUCACGUAGCAUGCCAGACGGACACACCAAAGAUGUGCACACGUGGAACGCCGCUUUCUUUGAAAACACUGCGACCUAACCACAAAAGUACAGGCACACAGAAAACUGUGCUGCACUGAUGUCGGUGUUGGGACCUCAGCUGUAAGAGGCCUCUGGAGGAGGGAGAGGACAACCCAAGUUGUUCAAGUAUGGACUUCGGAAAGCCACAGGAUGCUGCCUAUGAUCCUGAUGACUCGAUCACAGUCUUGACUGAGUCAGCAGAUGUGACAUUACGUGGAUAACCUGUUGGAUCUCAUCUUUCACAAGGUUUUUCAGGACCCGGCCCCAUAUGUGAAUGAGGUGCUGAAGAUCUCAAAACCUGAGGAUCUCUCUGCCAAGUAUGAGAAACCUGACUGUUGUGUAUUGAUAUCCAGUUAAGUUUGUUCCCUCGGGGCAUCCGUAAUGCCCCACUGUUUACCUGCAUUGUAUGCUGGUUAUUUUCUGUCCUGUGAAACUCACAGUAAAGUACGCACGUCUUUUCCA